UGAUUCGCUGCGGAUCUCCAGUACUAGGGAGGAAAGACCAUCAGUCUCCAUUGUUAACAUUCCUGCGUCCCACGCACUCCGGGUGCCAUGCCUCCCAAAUGCACUCAACUCCCCACAGAAAAGGGAACCCAUCCUUCUGCCGCAUAAAGUAAAUUCAGAGCCAGGGGCCUUCUGAGGCUCAUCCCAGGGCCUCUUACCUGCUUCCUGUACUGUGGAGGCCAUGGCUAGUCCCCGUAAGACGCCCAGAAGUGGCCAGAGAGAGCCUGAGGUUGGGCCAGGAAGAGCCCCUUUAUGGUCCAGCAGCAGCAGACAGGCAGUAGCCGACAUGAAGCAGUGACCCAAAAGGCCAUUGAGGAAGAGUCAUAUCACUGAGAAUGCGGGAUCCCAGCCCACAGGAUGUUGUCACCUGCAUCCCACCUUGGUCUUCCUCUUUAACCUUUCUGGAAAUACCCUCCUAGUAGCAGCCAAAGGAGUGUUUCCAUGGAGAUUCUAAUCCCAUCUAAUUGAGCAUCAAAGGACCAGUGAGAUGGCUCAGUGUACCCACUUGCUACCAAGCCUGAUGACCUGGGUUCAAUCGCUGGGACCCAGUGGUGGAAAGAGACUACCAACUGCGGAAGCUGUCCUGUGGUGUCUCCCCCGACCCCCACAUGCAAAUUCUUAAUUAAUAUAAUUUUAUUUAUGUAUUAUCUA